rnacentral:lncRNA from 1 species
UCCCCAAUUUCACAUGCCUAAGAAUAGGCUACUAUCAUAUCCCACACGCAAAGGAGUUGGGCUGAUCCCAAGAGUGCACCUGAAGGAGUUCAGGCACCGUCCAAUCGAAGGAAAAAGAAAGGCUGUGGCAAGUGUUGAUCCGACACCCUGAAGAUCGAUUUGUUGCUGAUUAAGAGCACUCUCUGAUCCACUAUGGCAUAGG